rnacentral:lncRNA from 1 species
UCAAGUAUAAUAGUAUAUGAGAAUAUUAAAAUAAAGUAUCUAUACAAAAUAUUGUAAAAUAAUACGAUAAUAAAAUAGUGAAAUCAUCAUGAAAAUUUAAAAAGUGUGCAUGCACAUGCAUAUAAAAGAGAUUUAAGUGAAUUAAAAAAGGGUAAUGAACUCUACAAAUCAAUGGGAUCUAAUUAAAAUUAAAUUAAAAUGAAUGGGCUGAUUUAAAAAUGGAAUAAUCAAAAGAGGAUCAAAGUGCGAAGCACACAAAUUCGUAAGGACUCAGCCUGGAAAUAAUCCAGUUCCCAGAACGCAGUGUUUAGGCGCGGAUUAGAUUGCAACAAAGCACAAAUUACACGUCCAAAUCGAAGAAAAAAAAGGGCAAGGCGCAUAAGGCGCAAUCGAAGGCUCGCGCGAUCAUGGGGGACCUAGCGCGAAAAUUUCCCAUUCUGAGUGAAAAGGCGCGGAUCCGGGUUGACGCGCGGACCCCCAAUGUCCCAAAUGGCGCUGUUUUCUUUUUUACAAAGGUUUUAAUGCCCUAUUUCCUUUCUCUUUAGACGCAGCCAUGCCUUUAACCCAAAUUAAUAACCCCAACAAUCAGUUUGCUAGGGAUUCUUUUGCCAGCAACCGAACCACCAUGAUAUUUUGGUGAUCAACAGCAUGCAAACAGCACCCGAUCCGACCAUUGAAGGUGCUCGACCAUUCCUAAAGGAUUUGGUAAGUCAUUCGACCCCCUUUGCCCCCUUUUUUAGAAACCUUCAAAUUAUUUUUACUCUUUUGAAAACCAAGCAAAGAUUUGAAGUGAAAUUCUUGACCCUCGCCCGUAUCUACUCGUUUUCGAGAUGUUUUUGGGCUUUCAUUGGAAUCGAUUCACACAUUGAAAAGGAAAUCGAGUCAAAAAAGAAAAAAAGAAGAAAUAAAUCGGAAGAAAAAGAAAAAAGAAACAAGGAAACUUGAAAUCACCUUUUCUAUCUUUUGAUUUCUUUUCUCUCUUCUGUAUGCGUGUGUUCGUAAAAUAUGCGUAACCAAAUACAAUUGAUCCAUUCUUGGCUUUAUAGCCGAAACUAAAAAAGAAAAAAUCAAAAAUCAAAAUACAAUAUUCCAUUGCUUUUUGCUGCUGCUGUGUUUGUCUUGUUCGCAGGUACGGAGUAGAGGACAUACGCUGGCCCUUGGCGUGAGGCGUACGAAGGGUGGACGUGGCGCUGCUGAGGCGUAAGGAGGUAGCUGGCGUGAUGUGGUUAGGCCGUUCGUGAGGACUGCGGCGCAAGGAGCCCUUUGCCCUAGGGUUUGCCGAAAGUUGGCUUAGUUUUUGGGCCGUUUGGGCCUGUUCUAGUUAUUGGGCCAUUGUAUUUGGGCUAUGGGGUAUUGGGUUAGGUUAUGUAUUGGGCCAAAGUCUGUAAAUAGACAUUUAAUGGACUGUGGGUUUUUAUUAUAUUUUUUUAAUUUAAUUUUGGUUUUUGGUUGUUGGGCCCAGGCAGAUUUGGCCCAUUACAACGUUUUUAACCGUUAUUUAUCAUCUAAUAUGUUUUUUUGGUAAUAUUUAUAUUAGGUAUGUAGUUAUUUCUUUUUUGAAAUUUAUUUCGUAAAUUUAUAUUUCAAUUUGUAAUGAUUAUAUUUGCUGUGAUUUUAGUACUAGAAAUAUGAUUUAUAUAUUCAAAUUAAAAUUUAAAAAUAAUUUAUAUUAAUUGCUUAAAAAU